AUGGGGGCAGUAGUGAAUGGAGGUUGGAGGGGUAACAAGAUAGCAACCAAGACGGUGGAGAUCCAUAAGCUGAAGCUUGCUGAACUAAGGCAAGAAUAUCUUGCUCAUGGUUUGGAGACCAAGGGAACAAAGCAAGAUCUUAUCCACAGACUCCAGGCAUAUCUUGAAGAACACGCUGAAGAGGAGGCAAAUGAAGAUGUUCUGGGAGAUGAAACAGAGGAAUAAGAAACAAAGCCCAUUGAGCUCCCUGUCAAAGAGGAAGAACCCCCUAAAAAAACUGUUGAUGUGGCAGCAGAGAAGAAAGUGGUGAGGAUUACAUCUGCAAUACCACAGACUGAGAGAAUGCAGAAGAGAGCUGAAUGAUUCAAUGUACCUGUGUGCCUGGAGAGUAAGAAAGCUGGUCGGGCAGCUAGGUUUGGGAUUUCUUCAGUUCCAACAAAAGGUCUGUCAUCUGAUAACAAACCUAUGGUUAACUUGGAUAAGCCGAAGGAAAGUGCUCAAAGAUUUGGUUUGAAUGUCUCUUCAAUCUCCAGAAAGUCUGAAGAUGAUGAGAAACUGAAAAAGAGGAAGGAGCGAUUUGGGAUUGUCACAAGUUCAGCUGGAACUGGAACCACAGAGGAUACAGAGGCAAAGAACAGGAAGAGAGCAGAGCACUUUGGGAUUGCCUGAUGAAAAGUCCUUGAUACUUUCUGUUCUCCAGUGUUUUCCAUUUCUCUCAUUCUUCUUGGUCACAUAUAUGCCUGAAUGUACAGUCAUGUGCCUACAUCCUGCCUCGCAAUGAGGGAGCACGUACCCCAGGUACAUCCGUGAACUGCAGCAGCAGUUUGACUUAAUGCUGUUUCAGCUUUAAGGUUGCUGUGUUUUUGUUCUUGGUUAUGUAGCUUGUUAAUAAAAAAAAAAUUGAAAAGAGAAA